GAGAUUUAUGUGGGUCAAGGUUGGUGCCAGCCAAACCAAGGUUGCCAGGUGCCAGCCAAACCAAGGUUGCCAGGAAAGAGGGUUCUCGAGUCCGCGCUGGCCCUGGAAAGUGUUAGCUGACAGAGGCGUUGGACCGAAAGGCAUCAAGUGCGCACUAUUGCGCGUGCGCCGUUUCAGGCGGUGAUGAAGACGAACGGACGGGCGCCGAUGGGGAUUCCGAGCCGACUCGUCACAAAAUGCUUGACUUUAAGGCCAUCCGCAGUUCCUUUCCAUUGUAAGUGUCACAGUUCAGGUGCGUUCUAUCUCGAGCCUAUGUUGGGGCGCUCUGUCGCUGUGGCUGCUGGGUAAAGCGUAGCCAGGGGGGCUUACGUCCCUUCCUUGGGGUGUGUGAGGAGUUGGUGGACUUCAGACCCCUACGCCGUGUGGGGGGUCGGACUGAGUGGAGAGACUUGACCACAACAAUGCGUGCGCGCUCGCUCGGCCGUUCGCUCACCAAGCUCGGCGAGCGCCUGCUGGACAUGACUCAAAGGCGCCUCCGCAGCGGGUGCGGCAGCCGCGCAAGCGACGUUGCCUGCGUUAUUAUUUCCAGUGGCCAUAUGGGUGUGGUCAUUCGGGGCCGUUUGAACCUCGCGGGACGUUUCGGAGGCUUCCGCAAAAGCGACAAAGUGACCCAUCGAAACUGCGUUCACUGCGUCGCCCUCACCUAGGCGGCGUGCGGGCGCCUCAAGUGUUGCAAGGGCUACACGCACGGUGCUGGCUGCGAGCGGAGCGCGGGGGGCGACCUGCCGCGCCCUGCAGGAGCUGCCGCGAAUAGACACGGCCGCGCAGGGCUUCAGCACGAGCGCCGACAUCUUGUCGCGUCUACGAUAUUAGAAAUAAUAGGUGGUGCGAUGAAGGAGCAACGGAGCGAGCUUGGAGCGGCGUCCGAAUUGGGGUGUAAACUGUUGGAAAAAGGUUUCGAGGGUUUGAGGCUAGUGCCUGCGAGAGUGUUUGUGUGUUCAUGUAAGAUAAGCUGACAGCAUUUGCGAGCUUGCCUAUGCGCGACCAUCGCGAUUUCCCAAUCCGGCGGGAAUGCAGCGGACACUCGGCGGUACACCCCGUCAGCACGCUCGUCAGCCCUAUCGUGCGCCUUGACCAGUCAGCCCGCUUCUGUUCACUUGCCUCAUGGCUCCUAUACUAGUACGCAUUGUUCCGGGCAGCGCUCGAAGGCGUUUGACGACACAUAACGGAACAACGCAUGACAGCUCGUCCACGCCAGCAGGCUGCCACACGCUCGUGGAAGGAUAACGCUAGAUUCUAUGACCCUUAUACAACAGUAGGCAGCCGGAUAGUUGUGUCCGUUGUGUCGGCAACAAUGCGUGCGCAUAUACACCGAUACGACCAUGCAAACAAAACUUCGUGACGAUCGCCCUUCACGGGCAGCGGGGCAGUUCAGUCAUGUUAGACACGCAUGAUUGCCUGCUUGCGACGUAGCGGAGCGUGGAUUACUGUCGGUGUUGGACAUUGGUGCAGGGGUGAGGGGAUGCGCGCUUGGACCUUGGCUUGGACGCCCCCCUUGGCCCUUGCUGAGCGUGUGUCCGCCACAGCGGUUCUACGCUGCCAGCAAAGCUCACCCAAACAAACAAUGACUUACACGUGCCGACGAAGCGAUUUCGGCUUCAAGCAUCCGGUUGCGACCAACACCGCGACGCGCCGCUUUACGCACCUGAGCACUGCACCGGCAUACCGUGCGACAAACGCCACAAUACCUGGGGACACCCUGCCGACUACUGCUGCACACCACUCCUGCACGUGCAGUAACCGGGGUGAGGCGGAUCUCACGCCACCAAAUCGAACUUGCCUCCGAAGUGGGCUCGAAUGGCUUAACGCAAUUAAGCGCCCAGAUGAACAUACAGGGUGCCACCUCCAUACACCGCGCCCACAUCAUCACCCGACCCCCUGGCCCCUGCUGCUGCUGGUGCUUCCGGGACAGCGUCGGCGGCCAGCCAAAGCCCAUGAGCUUGAGCACCAGACGACGAUCCAUAUCAUCACCACGCCGUCCAUGCUAAGUCUGCCCAAACACACCAGGCCCCGAGACGCACAGGUGCACCGUGCACGCCUGCCCAAGAGGUGCACCCUUCCAACUGCCUGCAUUCAAUGAACUUGGAAUCACCGCACAACCCCAAAAAAGGUGCACCAAUACCACAGGGUGCACAUCUUCGACGCACCCGUGGAACUGUGAAAGGCACGAGACGGCAUCCUUGCAACAACCAAAUCUGCGCGUGUGCUACAGCACCUUAGCACAGAGGUAAAGUUAAUAAGCCAAAAAAUGUGUUGCAUGACGUCCACAGCCAGCAAAAUCAGGAAAGGCUUUGCAUGACGCAGUAUGCAUUAUGCCGCACCGGCAUCCAGCCAUAACAAAAAACGGGGGGCCAUAGUCGGUGCUGGUCUGUGCAAAGUGAUGUCGUCCGCGGCCGCACGCUAGCUGCGCACUGCUAGCUUGCGCAGUCUACUAACCCUCAGCUUGAUGCUGCCUGUCUCUGCUCCCUACACAUACUGGCUGUAAUCUUGCAGACAUCACUGCCGCCACCGGCACUCCCACAAGACAUAUCCCAUUACCGCAUCGACCUGCCGCGCCAGCCCCACUCCCGAGCCGCCCCACUGCCGCCGCGCGAGUGGUGGCCCGCGCCGGGGCCGCCCGGCGCAGCGCCCCCGCCCCUGCCUGGCCCCCCAGGCAUGCCCAUGCCCAUACCACCCAGCCCUCCACCUGUGUAAGCCAUGCCAGCCGGCAGCGGAGGCAGCAUGCCACCCACAUGGCCAAUGCCCAGCCCCAUGCCCAUGGCCACACCCAGGCCGCCGCGUGCGCCGCCGCCAGCUGCUCCCGGGCCGCCCAGGGCUGCGGGCGAGGCCACCGCGAACCGAGACGGCCGCGGCCCUUGGCGGAGUGGCAUGUCCAGCGCAUGAAGCUCCUGCGGAGGGAACAAGGCGAGGCAAGAAGAACAUAGGCAGUCACGUCGUGGCGUUCCAACAUCAAGGCCUGCUUGCAGAUUGAGUAACGAGCUAUAGCACGCAAAGCAUAAUGCAAGUCCCGCAGCAGCGCGCCCAGCGAGCUGGCCCCCGCACCUCCAGGCCUGCCGCCUCGUCCGCCUCCUCCACUGUGAACGGCUCCGGGUCCGGCGGCAGUGCGCCCUGCCCGGCAACAACAGCAGUGGACACCGCAAUCAAGGCUACAACAGAAUGCAAUAGAGGAGGAAGGCCCUGACCUUUGAUGGCAUGGACCAUGCAGGCCCUGCGCUCAGCAUGACCACUUGAUUUGCGCCUGUGCCUCAAUCGCCCAACCGCCCAACUGCCCAACCGCCCAACCCACCAGGUCGUACGCCCGGUACGGCUUCACGCGGUCCUCCAGCCGCCAGCCGUACACGCCCUCGCCGUACACGAACACCCUGCAGGCCGCCGCACAGCACGACAGUAUGUUAGGCAGCGGUGUGGCCUGAGAGCGAGUCUCGGCACCAAGGCCGCAUGCUAUGGUACGGUAUCGCAUGGUACGGUAUGGCAAUCGCUAGCAGCGCCAGCCCGCACGACCCCGCCCCCGCCCCGCCCCGUCCCGUCCCCCUAUCCAUAGCACACACCGCGGCCGCUGUUUGCUUGCGCAUUCACAUGCUCAGUUUCGAACCCUUGUCCAAGUAUUUUGCACACACACACACACACAAACACAAACACAUACACACACACAUGGCGGAAUUGUUCCUUUUUUGUUCUUUGUUAAAACCACACACACACACAGAGACGAGGCUGAAUGCCAAACGCCCGGGUAGGGGGUUCCAGGCAACAUAUGCGGGUGAGUAUACUCAAGGUGGCAACUGGGGCAACAUCGACAAACGCGGAGCUCGGUAACCGGCGUCGGUAUUUGUUGGUAACUGCGCGCGCGUGUAUGGCGGAAUUGUUCCGUUUGGUUUUUUUUAACACACACACACACACACACACACACACACACACACACACACACACACACACACACACAAACACACCUGCGUAGCCCGGCGUCCACACACAGCUGCGCCGCCCAGGCCGCCCUCCGGCCGGAGCGGCUCAGCAGCACCACCACGUCCUCCGCCGGCCCGCUGGGCCGGGGCACGCCGUAGCGCUGCCGGAAGUCGGCCGGCGGCAGCACCAGCGCCGCAGCCAGCUCGUCAGCUGGUGGGGGGAGGCGGCGGAGGUUGUGGCAGGGGGUCGUGGUUGUGAUGCGCGGGCUUAAGGAGGGUAGCGGAUGCUGCACAGUAUCGCCUCGACUAAAAGGCCAGAAAUCACCUCCGCGAUGUCAUGCACCACCAGCUUGGCAUCCCUAGCCAUCGACCCAUCGAGCUCCAAUCGGCGCCCCAUACAUCCACAAAACACUUUUGACUGCACAGAAGCCUCUGCACACAGGCUUCUCACCCAGCUCCAUCCCACCCAGCACCCAUCUCCUGACCCAGCUUCUCGCCGCCCUUCCCUACACCCAUCCCUUCCGGACACAAGUCCAGUGCUCUCAACACGUGCAGUGCCCAGCACCUGCCACUCCCCUGCCCCCCCCCUCCCCCACCCGCACCUGGGAUGUUGAUGGUGCCUCGGAUCGCGCCGUACGACAGCCGCUCAUCGGGGCGCCGUACGUCGAUGACGGUGGCGGGCACGUGGAAGAGCGGGUCGGGCCCCAGCUGCAGCACCAGCCACAGCGCGUGCUUGCUGAUGGACGGCAGGCGUGGCCCGCCUAGUGAGGUGGCGGCAAACGCCUCCGGCCCGCCAAUCCAGGUCGCCACCCUGAGCAUAGGAGGAUGGGGACACACAAGUGGUCGGGCCAUGAGCGCCACGGAGUUUGAGGCGGGCUUGAGCCAUGGAGGGCGGCAUGGCGAGAAGCAAGGCUUGGGCGCCCCAAUAAACGACACCACUUCCUCGCCGAUUGGGCACCACUGACGGCAUCAGGCGCUGAAUGCGCCUUUACUGGACGUCGACACUCCAUGCAGUCACUUGUUCACUUCCCUCUUUCAUGGCCGUCUACCGCCCCCGUCCCCGCCUUACCUGCUGUACCCGGCUGCUGCCGCCGCCGCCGUCACAGCCGCCACGUGCCUGUCGUUGCGCCCCAGAACCACCAACAGCGCAUGCCGGGGCGGGUACGGCAGCGACGCCAUGUUGGCUGCAGCCGCCGCGGCCGCGGCUGCUACAGCCGCCGUCAGCGCGGCAUUGCCAUUUACCGCCGCCGCGGCAGUAGCAGCCGCCCCGUGUUGGUGCAAGGGGCCCCCGCUGCCGGUGCCGCCCCCUCCGUACUGGUUUAGCCCGUACCCAGUCCCCGGCCCCACCCCAGCAGCCCCCAGGGGCCCGACGGCGUCCGUGCCGCUCUCGCCGGCUGCAGACAGCCGCCGGUCGCCCGCCGCCGCUGCAGAGCCGCCGCCACUGUUGCCGCCCACGGCGCCUUCUAAGCCCAUGCCCGCAGCGCCCUGACCGAGGGCACCGCCGCCGUAGCCGUUAUGCGCAAGCGCUGUUCCGCCCGCCCCAAGUGUGAGCGAAAGCCGCUGCGCCUGUUGCUGCGGCAGGCGCGCCCGCAGGCCUGCCGCCGUUGUGCCGCCAGCGCCUAGCCCGCCUGCUAUCCCACCGUCUCGCCCUAGGGAGGAGGCAUACGAGGAGGCGUAGGAGGACCGUACGGACGAUCCCGCCGCACCGGGGGACCCUGCCCCCGCUACGCCAGCGGCUGCCGCCGCCACGUUGGCGGCCCUGGUGAGCUCCGCGCGCCAGGGCUCGGGCCCCGCCAGCGCCCGCACCCAGGCCGCAGCUGCGUGCAUGUCAGCGCAGGUGGAAAAAAGGGCACAUGAGUCGUGCGACUCGUGGUCGCAUUGUAUUUGUGCAAAGUGGAUGCAGGCUGCUGGCGGUUAGCGGCGUGCAAAGUGAUUGUACCCAAGGGCCGUGGCACGGUGGUUGGCAGUCAUAAUCAGUACGCGGUGCCCAACACAAGCCAGUGCAGCGGUAGCGGGCCACAGGCCACAUCCCCCACGUCCCCGCCCACCUGUCAUGCAGGGCACAGCUGCCGCCAGCUCCGGCGGCACGAUGCGCUGCAGCGCCAGCCCCGCCGCGCCACCUCCCGCAGCCCCGGCAGCUGCGGCAGCCCCCCCGCCACUGCCUGCGGAUGCUGCAGUGUUGCCGCCUGGUCUCCCUCCCGCUGCAGCCGUGCUUGGGGAACCCGCUGCUGCGCCCUGUCGGCCGGGGCCGCCACCUCCCGCUUGUUGCCCGGGGCAGUUGGCUCUGCCGCCCGCUGAUGCUGACGUUGGGGUCCCGUCCGGCGCAAGCUCCAGAAUGGCACACGGCAGGGCGCCGGUCUCGAUCUGUGGUGUGUUAAGAGACGCAUGCAAUAGCAAGUGAGAAUGAUGACAGCCGCUGGUGCCAGGGGACGAGCACAGCUGGAGGAGGCCUGUAGACCCCUGUAUUUUGGUCCUCGACACUGUCAUAUCCUGCUUCCCAGUGAUCCUGUCGAAGAGUCAUGCCUGUGCUAGCACGGUCCAGGCUUAUUGUGUGCGGCUGUGGGGCCCCGUGUAUGGCGGGCCGGGCCAGGUGGUCGGGCUCCCAAAAGCGCGGGAGUCCCUCGCCCAGAGGCCAACCCACCAGCAUACGGAUGGCCGUCGCCGAAAGGUGCUGCAGGAACCGCGGCUGAAGAGCAUUUGGAUCGUGUACCACAGUGUCCUCCUCCUCAUUCCGGCGCGCCUUUCGGCGCCCGGCGAGCGCGCGGCCGGCCCGCACCGCCCAUGCUGAUACCAGCACGACCAGGCCCCAAGCGACCGGCCCGCCCACAUUUACCACCGGCAUUGUGCACUGGUUGUUUCCAGCGGGCCACCAGGCCUACGCUACCCUUUAAUUCUCAAGUGCAUCUCCGCUCAAGCAAAGCGAGGCGAUUCAGCAAUCGCGCGGUAUGCACUGGAGUAUGUGAUACGUAAUUAUCUUUGAGUGUAACUGCAUUUGCGAUGGAGCCCGCGGGGGUGCAUCUUGGGCCCCUGCGCCCUGCGCUGCGGGCCUUUCAAUCCCUGUAACUAUACACCAUUGCCUGCAUACAUUUCUUGCGUGCAUGUGGAAGAGCCAGACGUGCAAUUGCUGUUUUCAAGGACAGUCCUAGAUUUUCAACAGCUGACCUGGGUUACGCCAGUGGCCGCUACCCGCCACGGGAUACAUGCAACUUAUACAUCAUUGACAAAUGGAGGCGCCGCGGCCCAAGUUUGUGUUGGUUCUCCGGCACGCGCAGCGCCAGGACGAAAUUAGUGAUGCUUGGACGCAAGCGGAGUCCCAGCGCCCGGGCGGGCGCCCGUGGGACCCGCCGCUGAGCGAGACAGGACUUGCUCAAGCGGCCAAGGCUGGUUUGCAGGUGGCUGCGUGGGAGCGGCGAAGCGGAGUGCGCAUUUCGGCAGUUGUGGUUUCCCCGUUCCUCAGGUGAGCGCGCAUGGCCCUCCAACAGCAUCCGCUACCAAAACCAUGCCCAAUCUGUCUUCACUGUCGUUGCACUGGCCUCACCACUGCUGGCCUGCCUUGUACGCCGCACCACCCCAGAUGCCUGCAGACGGCCGCGGCGAUUUGCCAGGCGCUGGGGCUUCCCAGCAUGCAUGUGAGCUGGGCGGUGUCCGAGACGCUCUGCCGCGUGCCGGGCACUCCCACGGGGCCGCUGGUGCACUGGAUGUGGCCGCGGAUACCAGCAGGCGAGCAGCAGCAGAUGCAGCAGCAGGGGCAGCAGGACCCGGCGGCUGGGGGAGAAGCCACCAGCGGCGGUGACGACGGCAGCAGCAGCGGAGCUGGGGGUGGCGGUAGCAGCCCCGGCAGCCUGACCGCGCGGGAGUACCUGACAGGCCUGGGGGCCACGGUCCUCCCGCAAGAGGGCGGCGCGAUGGAGGGCACUGCGCCUGCGGCUCAUGCCGCCGGGGCUGGGGCGCCGCCGCAUGCUACCCCCGGCUUGCAAACACAGGCGGAAUUUAAGGCAGAGGCGCCUGCCAUGCUCCCGGGAUCGCGCCCAUGCAGUUGCGUGCUACAGGUGAGCUCGCAAGCAAAGUUACUUAAACUCGUUUUGGUUUCUGUAUUCCAAAACGAGUUCACCAUUCCUUGGCUGCCGCUGCAGCGUGUAAGUCUGUGUGAAGUAUCGUUGCUGAAGGCGUGCGCGCACCUGGCCUCGCACGCAGGGCUUCAACGUGGCAGUCCUACCGCCGCCGGUCGACCCGCGGCUGCCCUACGUUGCCGUCGCCGCUGCGCCAGCUGCUGCGCCAGCCGCUGCGCCCAACACCAACAGUGUCACCGGUGGUGCCAGACACGCAGGUGCUGGUGCCGGCGCUGCAGUGCAGGAGCAGGAGCCGAAGCAGCAAGAGCAGGAGGCGGGUGCGGGUGAGGGUGCGGACCAGGAGGCGGCUGUGAGCGACGACGCCAACAGCGUGUUCAGUCCGCUGGAGAGCGAGGACGUGCAGGAGGGGCCCGCGGUCCUGUCCAGCGCCGACGCAGGCGCAGCAGCGGCAGCGGCAGCUGCUGCAGCGGAUGGCUUGCCGCUGGCUGCGGCGAAAGCUGCAACGGAGGCUGCAGCGGCUGCUGAGGGCGCGGGCGCGGGUGUCGCUAUGUGCACAGAAGCCUCUCAGGUUCAGGUUCAGGGGCAGGGGCGGGCGGAGCCGGGGCCAGGGCCAGAGCUGUUGCGCAUGCCGGACUGGGUGCCGUGCACGCCGGAGAGCCUGGAGGCGGCACACGCCCGCUACCGGGCCGCCUACCGCUGCCUCAUGGUGGCGGCGGCGGCGGCGGCUGAGGAGGCGGCGGCCCCCACGACGGCGGCGGGCCCCUCAACGGCAGCGGAAUGUGGCGCCGCUGCUACUGCUGCAGCCACAGCGGCUGGCAGCAGCGGAGGCGGCAGCGGGUCUCUGCAGGAGCAGCGGCGGGACUGGGAGCAGGCCUGGCGGGCGCUGUGGCGGCCGGCGGAGCGGCUGCCUGUGUCGCGCACCCGGACGCCCCGCAAGACGUCCGCUUGCGGGGUGGCAUCCGUUGGAGCGGGGCCCGUAGUCGAGGGGAAGGCAGCAGAAGCAGCAGAAGCAGUAGCAAUACCAGGAGGGGCAGCAGCGGCAGGGGCUGGUGGCGAGGCUGCUGCGGCGGCGGCGGAGGCAGUGGGCUGCAGGCAGGCGGCCGGGGCGGCCAUGGAUGUCGGCGCGGCGGCUGCGGGGCACGCGGAGGGCCAGCAGCCCCACACCGACCGUGAGGACGAAGACGAAGACGACGAUGAGGAUGAGGAUGAGGAUGAGGACGCCAACUUCCAGCACCGUCUGCUGCGGCAGCCCAUCAGCCAGGUUGGCUUGGAUGAGGAAUGCCCCCGCACGGCCCGAAGCCGCGCGCCGUCGGGCGGCGGCAGCACCGGGCUGGCGGCUGCUGCGGCGGCGGCGGCGGCAGCUGCUGCAGCGGAGGCUGGGAAUGGACCGCGGGCGGAGCCGGGUGCGGAUGAGGCGGGGGGCGCGGCGGGAAGCAGCGGGAGGAGCAGCAUGGCGGGCGGUGGUGGAGGCUGUGGCGGCAGCAGCAGCGGGCAGCUGCAGGGGCUUGCCGGUGGAGAUGGCGGGGCGGAGGCGCCGGCGGAGGCAGUACUGGUGGUGACGCACGGGGAGGCGGUGGCGUGUGCGGCGUCCACGGUUGCGCCCUGGGCCCUGGUGUACGAGGUACGGCACACUGGCUUCGUGGUGCUGUGCACGGGUGCGCAUGAGGAGGCGGAUGGGGACAUCCGGGGGCCGGAUGCGGGCGUCAGCGGGGGUCGCUCCGCAACAGGCACGCCGCGUGCCGGCGGUGGUGGUGGUGCCGGCGGCGGCGCCGGGCCGGUAGGUGCUGAGGCGGUGGAGGCGGCGUGGGAGCUGGUGCCUGACCCACAUGGCGAGCGCGGCGUGCUGUGGAUGUCGGCGUUGGAUGACUACUGAGCGGCGGUUGGCCGGAUGGGACUGGACGUCCACGACCGGCUGGUAGCGAGGGGUAAACGUUAUGGAACCCGCAACUGAAUGGUGGGGCGGUGGAGGUGUGGCCGCUCCGUUGUAAGGAGUUGGGCUGUUGGGCUGUAUGGUUCGAUGCUGUGUGCUCAGCAGGAUGGUCGCGCAGUGGUGUUGCAGCUCGGGCGCACUCUUGUGCGUUUGUGCUGUGAAACAAGGACAUACCGUAUUCUACAUGCAUUACACCAAUACACACCUUGGACCGAGGGUCUGAGGGUGUAUGGUGUUGGUGUGACACUACGUGGAUACCGUUCCAUGUCUAAAUGUAAACCGCGCAACCUGCCUCGCAAUCUGCCGCACCCACAUCCUGCCACCAGUCUUCUAUGCACGUUGCGAAAGUUUCAUCCACCUGCAGCGCUGUUUGACGCGUGUAAAACUCGAGGUGUGCACACUCUGCACACACAUCCGUCCUGCUCACCGCCAGUUCCAUUCACACCUCUGCACAACUAUCACCUUUAUUCCCAUCCACGGGCACGCCCACAGCUUCUCCACACUGUCACCGCUAAGGAAACGCCAGUCCCAGUAUCCUCAAACCUCCUCUUAGGCCGCCAGUCGAACGUCAUCUACACACACCAGCGCGUCGUAGCCGCUGUUGUCGUUGCGCAGGUCGAUCUUCACCACUGACCCAGAUGACAGGUAGCUCCCAUCCGAGGCGGGGCAGCCCUGGAAUGCGCCGCCGCCCGCGCUGCCGCCCCCAAACACGGAGUCCAGGGGCACCCAGAACUUGACCCAGCCGGAGGCGGUCACGUCGGCGGAGGGCAGCAGCGAGGAGAAGUGGAUGGAGCUGGCGCAGGCAGUCGAAGGGCCGGCCAGCGCGAUGGUAAUGUCAGGCAUGGCGGCAUCCGAAGAGCCGCGGUACACGAACAGCUCCAGCGCCCUGUGGGAGAGGGCAGAGGAUGGAAGGGUCACGAGAUGGAGUGGGUGGUAGGGGUGGCAAGGUUGAACAAUGGGGCCCUGGGUACCCUCGGAACUCCGAAAUUUCGACUGACUCAAGCAGCGUCUAGGUAAGAUCUUGCAGCCUCAGGCACAAAACGGUGCUAUGCAUCCGUUUUCCAGCUCGUGUGCAGCACCCAUGCACCCCCUACACGCUACGGUCUACCGCCCGUCCGUAGCCGCUCCUCGGUUCCCACGCCACGCGCCCUCACCCACCUGCGGCCAGUGAAGUCCCCGGCGCUCUUGUCGAAGAAGGACGUGGCGGCGCCGUACGGCAGAAUACUGCACUUGGCCACGCCGCCCGUGUGGCCUAGGGGGGCGAGAGAUGUGGAGGGGGGGCAGGAGCAAAGCAGGUUGAGGGUUUCAGGGUGGUGACAACGAGCGCACACAGAGCCGUGAGCAAAUCCUAGGCCCCGUGAGCAAAUCCUUGGCCCCGUAAAGUCCCUGCGCCCCGGUGGCGCUACUAGGGUCAUGAGCAGGCGUAACAAUGGAGCCCGACCCACAUGGGCUGAUGGGCCAAGUAACCCACAUUGGUGUGCGAUGGGACAGUGUCAAGGCAGGUUGGUGAGGCCCCCACCUUGACCCCCGCCCAUCCCCUGCACCGCUAGCGCCCCUGCGCCCCCCGCACACGGCGUCACGGCCGCAGUGGCUGCUCACCCGCGGGCGAGUACUGGGUGAAGGGCCGCACGCCGUACGACGAGUCAAUCCAGUCCGCGCCAUACGACCCGCCGUUGUAGAUGCGUACGUCAGCUAUGGGGCUGGAGGUGUAGGUGGCCUGCUGCGGGCCGCUGCCGGCGCCGCUGCUGCUGCCGCCGCCGCCGCUGGAGCCACCGUUCAUCCAGGACGGGUUGCCUGUGACCAGAUAAGGGGAGGAAAGGUCAGGAGAAGGUUUGAAUUGCGGCUGUUUUGGAGGGAGAGCCGGAGAGGCGAGGGCGUUACUGCGCUAGCAGCCACAGGCGCGGCUUUGUUCUUGUCGCUUUGGAUGACAUUACGCAGGCAUGGCGUCAAGCACUGUGUGUGCAGCAUUGGUGCGCCGCUUGCGAGCUACUCACUGUCGCGCUGCGAGGGCAGGUCCGGGUUCUGCAGGACUCGCCGACGGUGUGAAAAUGACCCAUACUCUACGCCCUGCAUGCAUCGCCAAACGGGGGAGAAACAAACGUCAGCUGGUGGCUAGAGUGCGAAAGGGCGCGCACCGCAGCUGUAGCCUGGAGGAUCAGUGCGCAAAACGGGGGUGCAAGCGGCCCGGCCCGCUGGGACCGGCUUACCGCGGGGUCCUGUCGGGUGCAGGAUGCCGCGCCAAUUAGCAGCAGCAAGCCCAGCAGGCCGCAGGCGAGACGUGUUGAGCAGCCGGCGGGGGCCAUGGCGUUCAAGCUGCGGAGCGCGGGCUGGUCUGCUGGAGAUGACAGGAGCUAGGGCAGGAGCUAUGUAAUAGGGUUUAGCGGGAAUCACGAGUUUUCGAGGCGCUGCGUUGGUAAAUGAGGGAGGCGCGGGCCUUGCCCGCCCUAAAAUGGCUCCCGCCACUUCCCGUACACCAUCCGGUCUGCAUGCCAACGGGGCCCCUGCUCGUCAGCUUCCUUGUCGCUUACAGCUGCUACCGCCCGCCAGAACACUGCAGGCACGGGCUUGGACAUCGGUUGCUGAAAGAAGGGCUAGUUGUGGGCUGCGUUUGUGCGUGCUCGGUCCCCUGGGUCGUUCCCGCGCCGCGCGUGCGUUUGCUGCCCUUUUAACACCCUCCAAGCCGGAGGGAUUGACUAUGCGAGCAAGUUGUGUUCGCGCAUGCAGCCGGGGCCCGCCUAUACACACGGUUUCUACGCGCAGCGAUGCAAGCUGGGGUUGACGCCAGGCCGUCUUCGCCGCGCUAGGCACGCUAGGUAUGCAAGUACAUUCAUUCAUGCGCACUAUUCAAUAAACGGAACUUAAGGGCGUCGCGUGCACAAAACCCGGAAGCCACUCGAACUUGACCUGCAAUUCUUUCCGUGUCGUUCAGCAGCACUAGAGAACUACGCAAUGCGACAUAUCUUAUCCAAGUCUCUUGCAUAUGUUCGUGAAACGGGGAUGCCACUAGACUAGAAGCUCGUGUGCUGGCGGCAUCGCUCGACCUUUCGGCCUCGGUGCUACCUAUAGAAGCCGCGAUGCUUAGCAUCCAGCGGCAUAUAGCUUAGGUUUCCAUUCCGCCACGCAGCAUAAUUUUGGGUCAACGCAGCGACGGAGAUGACGUCGUCCCCCCGCGCCUCGGAUCGGCUUGUAUCGAUGCGGUCGAUGGAGCGCCUUUUCAGACAGCCCGCUGUCCAUGCAACGCUUUUCGAGGACAGAGUAAGCUCAGCUUGGGUUGAACGAAACCAGUGACCUGUGUUUGUGUGAAUGGGGGCUAUGGGGCUACCACCACGGGCUGUACCAAGCGGCGUGUGUUUGGGGGCGGCACGCUGCGUGUCAAACCCUGCCGCGUCUCAGUUCCCUUACCUUCCCUGUGCGCUGGGCACUAGGGGCUAGCAUCACGUAGGACGCCGGAAUGCGACAUCUUGUCAUGAUGGCUAUGGCUUUAGGGCGCCCUUGUGAACAGUUCGACCACUGAACGCGGCCACAGGUGUAUGGGCACGACGACUGGACCAAGCACCGCAACGCGGCGUGGCGGCACCGAAUUGAGCCCGUGGUGUUGUGAGUCAGAUGCUGCGUCGCCCGUUGCGUCCGGGGCCGCAUGUCUGAAGGCCUAUGCUGUAUCAACACCUCUGUCACUUGGCAAGCAGUGCUGUGGCCACGGUGCCGGUGGUGUCUGCAUCGCUACUGCAUAGCUACUAAUUGUGGCAACCCUGUGAACACACACGCACGCAGCGCUCGUGUGGCGGUCGGGUUCGGCUGGCAGCUACUGCUGGUGUUCCUGGUGUCCAUCGCUGUGGGCCUGGUCUACACCUUUGUGGUGAGGGGGCUUUGGGCGCAUCGGGGGCAAGAUGGCGCUCAUGAUGGGGGGAGAAAUCGUGUGGAGAGGAAUCCAGGACAGCAUAGAACCGCCACCGCGUUUUGGCGCCCGAAUUCUGCCGCCUCUACGUUUGCGCCUGCUUCUUAUGUUGUGGGCAUCUGUGUUGCAUGUGUGUUGGCUUUAUACACUUGGCUCACGCGCUCUUGUGCAUAUGUGUUGUGUGCUGCGGCUGCUGCUGGCGGUUGUGGCGCAGCCGGGCCUCGACACGCGCCUGGCGGGCGCCCAGCUCACAACCCCCUUCACGUGAGUGGACCACCGCAUGGCACUGCGUAGCGUGCGUGUGUUAAGGGGAGCACCAGGGAGUGUGCGUGUGUUAAGAGGAGCACCAGGGAGUGUGCGUGUGUUAAGAGGAGCACCAGGGAGUGUGCGUGUGUUAAGAGGAGCACCAGGGAGUGUGCGUGUGUUAAGAGGAGCACCAGGGAGUGUGCGUGUGUUAAGAGGAGCACCAGGGAGUGUGCGUGUGUUAAGAGGAGCACCAGGGAGUGUGCGUGUGUUAAGAGGAGCACCAGGGAGUGUGCGUGUGUUAAGAGGAGCACCAGGGAGUGUGCGUGUGUUAAGGGGAGCACCAGGGAGUGUGCGUGUGUUAAGAGGAGCACCAGGGAGUGUGCGUGUGUUAAGAGGAGCACCAGGGAGUGUGCGUGUGUUAAGGGGAGCACCAGGGAGUGUGCGUGUGUUAAGAGGAGCACCAGGGAGUGUGCGUGUGUUAAGGGGAGCACCAGGGAGUGUGCGUGUGUUAAGAGGAGCACCAGGGAGUGUGCGUGUGUUAAGAGGAGCACCAGGGAGUGUGCGUGUGUUAAGAGGAGCACCAGGGAGUGUGCGUGUGUUAAGGGGAGCACCAGGGAGUGUGCGUGUGUUAAGAGGAGCACCAGGGAGUGUGCGUGUGUUAAGGGGAGCACCAGGGAGUGUGCGUGUGUUAAGAGGAGCACCAGGGAGUGUGCGUGUGUUAAGGGGAGCACCAGGGAGUGUGCGUGUGUUAAGAGGAGCACCAGGGAGUGUGCGUGUGUUAAGGGGAGCACCAGGGAGUGUGCGUGUGUUAAGGGGAGCACCAGGGAGUGUGCGUGUGUUAAGAGGAGCACCAGGGAGUGUGCGUGUGUUAAGGGGAGCACCAGGGAGUGUGCGUGUGUUAAGAGGAGCACCAGGGAGUGUGCGUGUGUUAAGAGGAGCACCAGGGAGUGUGCGUGUGUUAAGGGGAGCACCAGGGAGUGUGCGUGUGUUAAGAGGAGCACCAGGGAGUGUGCGUGUGUUAAGGGGAGCACCAGGGAGUGUGCGUGUGUUAAGGGGAGCACCAGGGAGUGUGCGUGUGUUAAGAGGAGCACCAGGGAGUGUGCGUGUGUUAAGAGGAGCACCAGGGAGUGUGCGUGUGUUAAGGGGAGCACCAGGGAGUGUGCGUGUGUUAAGAGGAGCACCAGGGAGUGUGCGUGUGUUAAGAGGAGCACCAGGGAGUGUGCGUGUGUUAAGAGGAGCACCAGGGAGUGUGCGUGUGUUAAGAGGAGCACCAGGGAGUGUGCGUGUGUUAAGAGGAGCACCAGGGAGUGUGCGUGUGUUAAGAGGAGCACCAGGGAGUGUGCGUGUGUUAAGGGGAGCACCAGGGAGUGUGCGUGUGUUAAGAGGAGCACCAGGGAGUGUGCGUGUGUUAAGAGGAGCACCAGGGAGUGUGCGUGUGUUAAGAGGAGCACCAGGGAGUGUGCGUGUGUUAAGGGGAGCACCAGGGAGUGUGCGUGUGUUAAGAGGAGCACCAGGGAGUGUGCGUGUGUUAAGAGGAGCACCAGGGAGUGUGCGUGUGUUAAGAGGAGCACCAGGGAGUGUGCGUGUGUUAAGAGGAGCACCAGGGAGUGUGCGUGUGUUAAGAGGAGCACCAGGGAGUGUGCGUGUGUUAAGAGGAGCACCAGGGAGUGUGCGUGUGUUAAGAGGAGCACCAGGGAGUGUGCGUGUGUUAAGAGGAGCACCAGGGAGUGUGCGUGUGUUAAGGGGAGCACCAGGGAGUGUGCGUGUGUUAAGAGGAGCACCAGGGAGUGUGCGUGUGUUAAGAGGAGCACCAGGGAGUGUGCGUGUGUUAAGGGGAGCACCAGGGAGUGUGCGUGUGUUAAGAGGAGCACCAGGGAGUGUGCGUGUGUUAAGAGGAGCACCAGGGAGUGUGCGUGUGUUAAGAGGAGCACCAGGGAGUGUGCGUGUGUUAAGAGGAGCACCAGGGAGUGUGCGUGUGUUAAGAGGAGCACCAGGGAGUGUGCGUGUGUUAAGGGGAGCACCAGGGAGUGUGCGUGUGUUAAGAGGAGCACCAGGGAGUGUGCGUGUGUUAAGAGGAGCACCAGGGAGUGUGCGUGUGUUAAGAGGAGCACCAGGGAGUGUGCGUGUGUUAAGAGGAGCACCAGGGAGUGUGCGUGUGUUAAGAGGAGCACCAGGGAGUGUGCGUGUGUUAAGAGGAGCACCAGGGAGUGUGCGUGUGUUAAGAGGAGCACCAGGGAGUGUGCGUGUGUUAAGAGGAGCACCAGGGAGUGUGCGUGUGUUAAGAGGAGCACCAGGGAGUGUGCGUGUGUUAAGAGGAGCACCAGGGAGUGUGCGUGUGUUAAGGGGAGCACCAGGGAGUGUGCGUGUGUUAAAAGGAGCACCAGGGAGUGUGCGUGUGUUAAAAGGAGCACCAGGGAGUGUGCGUGUGUUAAGAGGAGCACCAGGGAGUGUGCGUGUGUUAAGAGGAGCACCAGGGAGUGUGCGUGUGUUAAGAGGAGCACCAGGGAGUGUGCGUGUGUUAAGAGGAGCACCAGGGAGUGUGCGUGUGUUAAGAGGAGCACCAGGGAGUGUGCGUGUGUUAAGGGGAGCACCAGGGAGUGUGCGUGUGUUAAGAGGAGCACCAGGGAGUGUGCGUGUGUUAAGAGGAGCACCAGGGAGUGUGCGUGUGUUAAGAGGAGCACCAGGGAGUGUGCGUGUGUUAAGGGGAGCACCAGGGAGUGUGCGUGUGUUAAGAGGAGCACCAGGGAGUGUGCGUGUGUUAAGGGGAGCACCAGGGAGUGUGCGUGUGUUAAGAGGAGCACCAGGGAGUGUGCGUGUGUUAAGGGGAGCACCAGGGAGUGUGCGUGUGUUAAGAGGAGCACCAGGGAGUGUGCGUGUGUUAAGGGGAGCACCAGGGAGUGUGCGUGUGUUAAGGGGAGCACCAGGGAGUGUGCGUGUGUUAAGAGGAGCACCAGGGAGUGUGCGUGUGUUAAGGGGAGCACCAGGGAGUGUGCGUGUGUUAAGAGGAGCACCAGGGAGUGUGCGUGUGUUAAGAGGAGCACCAGGGAGUGUGCGUGUGUUAAGGGGAGCACCAGGGAGUGUGCGUGUGUUAAGAGGAGCACCAGGGAGUGUGCGUGUGUUAAGGGGAGCACCAGGGAGUGUGCGUGUGUUAAGGGGAGCACCAGGGAGUGUGCGUGUGUUAAGAGGAGCACCAGGGAGUGUGCGUGUGUUAAGAGGAGCACCAGGGAGUGUGCGUGUGUUAAGGGGAGCACCAGGGAGUGUGCGUGUGUUAAGAGGAGCACCAGGGAGUGUGCGUGUGUUAAGAGGAGCACCAGGGAGUGUGCGUGUGUUAAGAGGAGCACCAGGGAGUGUGCGUGUGUUAAGGGGAGCACCAGGGAGUGUGCGUGUGUUAAGAGGAGCACCAGGGAGUGUGCGUGUGUUAAGAGGAGCACCAGGGAGUGUGCGUGUGUUAAGAGGAGCACCAGGGAGUGUGCGUGUGUUAAGAGGAGCACCAGGGAGUGUGCGUGUGUUAAGAGGAGCACCAGGGAGUGUGCGUGUGUUAAGGGGAGCACCAGGGAGUGUGCGUGUGUUAAGAGGAGCACCAGGGAGUGUGCGUGUGUUAAGAGGAGCACCAGGGAGUGUGCGUGUGUUAAGAGGAGCACCAGGGAGUGUGCGUGUGUUAAGGGGAGCACCAGGGAGUGUGCGUGUGUUAAGAGGAGCACCAGGGAGUGUGCGUGUGUUAAGAGGAGCACCAGGGAGUGUGCGUGUGUUAAGAGGAGCACCAGGGAGUGUGCGUGUGUUAAGAGGAGCACCAGGGAGUGUGCGUGUGUUAAGAGGAGCACCAGGGAGUGUGCGUGUGUUAAGAGGAGCACCAGGGAGUGUGCGUGUGUUAAGAGGAGCACCAGGGAGUGUGCGUGUGUUAAGAGGAGCACCAGGGAGUGUGCGUGUGUUAAGGGGAGCACCAGGGAGUGUGCGUGUGUUAAGAGGAGCACCAGGGAGUGUGCGUGUGUUAAGAGGAGCACCAGGGAGUGUGCGUGUGUUAAGAGGAGCACCAGGGAGUGUGCGUGUGUUAAGAGGAGCACCAGGGAGUGUGCGUGUGUUAAGAGGAGCACCAGGGAGUGUGCGUGUGUUAAGAGGAGCACCAGGGAGUGUGCGUGUGUUAAGAGGAGCACCAGGGAGUGUGCGUGUGUUAAGAGGAGCACCAGGGAGUGUGCGUGUGUUAAGAGGAGCACCAGGGAGUGUGCGUGUGUUAAGAGGAGCACCAGGGAGUGUGCGUGUGUUAAGAGGAGCACCAGGGAGUGUGCGUGUGUUAAGAGGAGCACCAGGGAGUGUGCGUGUGUUAAGAGGAGCACCAGGGAGUGUGCGUGUGUUAAGGGGAGCACCAGGGAGUGUGCGUGUGUUAAGAGGAGCACCAGGGAGUGUGCGUGUGUUAAGAGGAGCACCAGGGAGUGUGCGUGUGUUAAGGGGAGCACCAGGGAGUGUGCGUGUGUUAAGAGGAGCACCAGGGAGUGUGCGUGUGUUAAGAGGAGCACCAGGGAGUGUGCGUGUGUUAAGGGGAGCACCAGGGAGUGUGCGUGUGUUAAGAGGAGCACCAGGGAGUGUGCGUGUGUUAAGGGGAGCACCAGGGAGUGUGCGUGUGUUAAGAGGAGCACCAGGGAGUGUGCGUGUGUUAAGAGGAGCACCAGGGAGUGUGCGUGUGUUAAGGGGAGCACCAGGGAGUGUGCGUGUGUUAAGAGGAGCACCAGGGAGUGUGCGUGUGUUAAGGGGAGCACCAGGGAGUGUGCGUGUGUUAAGGGGAGCACCAGGGAGUGUGCGUGUGUUAAGAGGAGCACCAGGGAGUGUGCGUGUGUUAAGAGGAGCACCAGGGAGUGUGCGUGUGUUAAGGGGAGCACCAGGGAGUGUGCGUGUGUUAAGAGGAGCACCAGGGAGUGUGCGUGUGUUAAGAGGAGCACCAGGGAGUGUGCGUGUGUUAAGAGGAGCACCAGGGAGUGUGCGUGUGUUAAGGGGAGCACCAGGGAGUGUGCGUGUGUUAAGAGGAGCACCAGGGAGUGUGCGUGUGUUAAGAGGAGCACCAGGGAGUGUGCGUGUGUUAAGAGGAGCACCAGGGAGUGUGCGUGUGUUANNNNNNNNNNNNNNNNNNNNNNNNNNNNNNNNNNNNNNNNNNNNNNNNNNNNNNNNNNNNNNNNNNNNNNNNNNNNNNNNNNNNNNNNNNNNNNNNNNNNACCACCACCACCACCACCACAACCACCACAACCACCACCACCACCACAACCACAACCACAACCACAACCACCACCACACCACCACAACCACAACCACAACCACCACCACCACCACCACCACCACAAACACCACCACAACCACUUCCUGUUCCGCAGCAUGAUCACGUUUGCGCUGUCGCUGCUGCUGGUGUUCAAGACCAACAGCAGCUACAGCCGCUGGUGGGAGGGGCGCAUCAUCUGGGGCCAGGUGCGUGCGUGCGUGCGCAUUCCUGCAUGGGUCGGAGGGGCCGCCCGCCCUGGUACGACACGCACGACCUGCGGGGAAACCGGACCUGGGAGUGGGGCACAUGUGACGUACAUACACAUGCACAUGCUCAGCGGCACUGAAAGCAUGUUCCGAACCUCAUGUGACAGACUGUACUUGACUUGUGUGCUUGCGUAAUGUGCUCCUGUGACUACAGAUUGUCAACUUUGGGCGCAACUACACCCGGCAGGUGUGUGUGUGUGUGGGGGGGGGGGGGGGGGGUUGUAAAUACCAGCCCAAACUAAACCAAAACCAACGAAAACGAGCGGAGUGCAGGCAGAGGCGUUAGUUGCAAGCGAUAAUACUUAUGGGAUGUGGGCCGAUGCGUCGAGGGGGGGAUCGCCGCCGCAGCAUGCAUGGGUCCGUCGGGACUUUGCAGCCGCUCUUCCUGCGCACUCCGUCUUCUCUCAUACCUCCUCCUUCACAGUUCCCCCUUCACUCCACUCCAACACGGCCACACACACACACACACACAGACACGUACUCACAAUAUCGCCGCCGCCUGCCCCCCCCAGGUGCUGAUGUGGUUCCCCGCGGAGCGACCCGAGCUGCGCGCCGCGGCGGUGCGGUGGGCCGCCGCGGCGCCGCGGGUGCUGCUGGCGCACAUCCGCGAGGGCUGCUCGCUGGCGGACGAGGUGGCGGACAUCCUAGAGCCGGAGGAGGUGUGUGUAAGGGUGUGUGCGGGGGGGGGGAGCGGGAGGGGUUGUUUAGUCCAAAUGCAACUAAACCAAGACCCAGCAGGGGGAGGGCGGGCGGCGGGUUGCUUAUCCCAAGUGUUCGAUGAGCAUAAGGGGAAGCGGUCCGUGCAUGCGGGAUAAGGUGUGUGCGCGCAAAGAGAUUAGCGCAAGCGGGGAGAGUUGUGUGUUACAAGCUGCGACAUCCUCACCCCGCCCGCUUUGCCCUCCCCACCGCCACGGCAGGUGGAGUGGCUCACUGGCUGGAGCAAUGCGCCGCUGGGUGCGGGCAGCGCCCUGGGUCAGCUGGUGGCGGCGGCGGGGCUGCGGCCGGAGCUGCAGGCGGAGCUGCAGCGGCAGGUAGGGGGUGGAGGCGGGGGGGGGGGGGGGCGUGUACGGACGUAUCGAUGUUGGUUGGGUCCAUGCCCUGCCUUGGGCUAUCUGUAUCCGCAAUUUUACACAUAUACACAAACACGAGCACACCGCCGAGGCAUUCCGCACGCGCACGCACACGCAGGUUGAGCUGUACACGAACAUGGCUGGCGGCUGCGAGCGCAUCUUCAAAACGCCCAUCCCGCCCGCCUACACGCGGUGAGGUCCGCACCUGCGCCUGGCGCCGCGCCGCGCCGCACCUCUGGCGGCGGCGGCACUGCAUCCGUGUAGAUGUGUGUAGAUGUAGAAGUGUGGUGCGCCGGGUGGAGGCGGAGGCGGCUGUGCACCAAUUGGGCACCAGGGCGUUGCCACGGCGCCAGCAGUGCUUCCGUUUCGGCGCCGGUCCUGCGUGCCGCUUACACCCCAUGGGCCCCAAUCCUUGACCCCUCGCCCCACGCCCCAACACCCUUAAUCCUCCAUCCUUCCCGUCCUACCUGACCAACCUACCCCCCCCCUCCCCCUGCCCCUCGCCCUCCUUUUCGCCCUGCCUUUUACCCCGCAGCCACACCUCCCGCUUCCUGAUGCUGUACGUGGUGUUCUCGCCGGUGCUGCUGUGGACCGCCACCGGCUGGGCCACGCCGGCGGUGGCGGUGGUCAUCGCCUUCCUGCUGCUGGGGGUGGAGAACAUCGGGGUGCAGGUGGGGAUCGAGAGAGGAGGAUGUGUGUGCGUGUGUGCGUGUGUGUGUGUGUGUGCGUGUGUGUGUGUGUGUGUGUGUGUGCGUGUGUGUGUGUGUGUGUGUGUGUAAGGGGGGCGGGUUGGGGGUGCCUUCAGCGCUUUGGGUCAGCAGCGGCUGAUGGGCUGUGGCCGCCCUGCCAGGGGUGGCAGUAGGGGCUGCCGAGGCGGCGGGGGUUGCUGCACAAACCAUCUGCAAACGCUGCUCCGCCCACGUCAUGUGUGAUUUGGGCUGGCGCAGUCAGUCAGUCAGUCAACCAGUGGGUCGGUCGGCCACGAGCCGGCUCGCCGUACAAGAACGUGCCGUACUCCCCCUCCGCUGCACGCCAUGCCCCAUUUGUGUGCUCCAUGCAGCAUGUCUGCUGCGUGCCGAUGUAACUUUGUGUUCAUGUGACUGAAACUGCACGUCUAAACGGCUGCAGGUGGAGGAGCCCUUCCACGUGCUGCCCCUGUACGACAUAUGCAGGUGAGGGUGGGGCGGGGCGGGGCGGGUGCGGGUUCAGGACUUAAUGAUUGCAAUCCUUCGUCCGGCUGCGUGGUGUGCGGCGUGUUCACGAUACAUAAUAUGCUUCCACAGUUUGCCUGCAUUACGUUGCAUACCGGAACUCCGCUUCUACUGCCCCGCCCCAACGCCCUGUUGCUGGCUUUCUGCCGAUUCUCCCCUCCCCGCUCCUGACGAAAACCAACCCUCACUUGCAUGCCAGGGCGCUUGAGGCGAACAUCCGGGAGCUGGAGCGAAACUUCCAGCCCACCACCACUUCCAGCCUUGUCGUUGUCGCGCGGGCGGCCGGAAGCACAGCCCGGCCGCGGCCGCCCGGCAAGCUGCCACUGUUUGCCGCCGGCUCCGGCGCUGGUUCUGGUGCCGAGGCCGGGGCGGGCAGCUGGGGCGUGCGUAGCACCGGCACCGGCACCGGCAGCGGCAGCGACUACGUCGCGCCGGGGGAACGGCACGUCGUCGUUGGCGGCGGCGGCGGCGGCGGCGGCGGCGGCGGAGGAGGAGGCGGAGGCGGCGGCGGAAGUGCCGCGGCGGCGGAUGUUGCGGUUCACGUGCUGGCGAGCGACGGCGGGGUUGGCCAGUCGCGGCGUAAGUCCCUGCCGGAGAGGGUGGGCGGCGGCGGCAACGGCAGCAACAACGCGGGCGGCGUACCGAGCAGCGGCGCUGAUAGUGCUGGUCGCGGUGGGAUGGUCGUGAGCACGGGUGUCAAUGGCAGCGGCGUUUCAAACAGUGGCGGGCAGGGGCCCUUCGCGAGCGCAGCAUUGGCGGCUGCGGCCACGGCACCAGCAGGCAGGCAGGUUCCUGUGCCGUCGCCGUCGCCGGCGGCCACAGGGCCGCUGGUGUCUUGAGUACCAUUGUGUGCGCGGCGUGCAAGAUUCAGGUGAUUGGGGUGGCGUGACAAUGCUUAAGCUGCCUGUGGUUGGUUUGGUCGGGCCAUAGCGGCUGGCUGGGGGUUUGUUUCCGCUGUGUGCAUGCCUGGAGGCCGUGAAAAUGCGCAAGUACGAGUCCGUAAGGGACCUCUGAAUUCAUUGGGUCCGGAAGCCCCACCACCGGUGUGGGGCCUGUGGGCUUGCUGUCACCAUUCAUUGAGUGAAGCGGGAACUGACGGCCGUGAUGCUGGUACAAUGGUACGCCAGAAUACUGCUGGGGCGUAUGUUGCAUUGGUUGACGCUGGGGCUGGGAAUGGCUGACGCCGCAUGCGGCGAGUGUGUGGGAUGCCGUGAAGACUGAUGAUGUGCCGGGGCCUCGUGACUUUGUUUCCACACAAUGCGCUCGAGACCGGCCAGACCGCAACACUGCGUAACACCGUUACAGUAUGUGCCCGCUGCAUGGAGGGGGCCUGGUCUGGUGUCCAAAGGUGCUGUGAGAAUUUGCACCCACCUCAACACCUGCUCUGCAUCUUGCUUCACCCAGGCCCAGUAUGGCUCUGUGCCUGACACUCAGAUGCAACUGAGCAUAACUGAGCCCGGUGAUCCGGCACUACCAGCUUGCAUGUGUGCGUUUCCGACAGGCACGCGCUGCGGGUCCUACCUGCUGUCUUCUAAGCGUCUCCUGCAUAUCACCCACUGCACCACGGUACCCACACGCUAGGCUGGUGCGUGCGGAAGAGCACAUCCACAUCCUUCGCGCGACACGGCGCAGCGCUUGCAUGUCGGUACAUCAGGCCCCACAAGGCGGCGGCGGCCAACGCCCAACGAAACCCAACUCGGCCAGCAAAGAAUGGGCGCAGCGCCAUCAGUGCAUCGCCCUCGGCCACAAUUAUGUCAAGCAUAACACAGCACGAGGAGCUUCGAUUGGUAGAAUGCUAGACCCCAAACUCUGUUGCCCUUGCGUUCCUACAAAACCAGGCAGCACGGCCGCGAUGCGUGAGACCCCCCUCCCCCCCCGGUGCUGGGUUCAGCUCCAUAUGCCCGGGCGGCCCAGCCCACUGCCGUACAGGCCGGUCUGCUGCUGCUGCAGCAGCUGCUGCUGCUGCAGCAGCUGCUGCUGCUGGCUGGACUGUAGCUGCUGCUGCCCCUGCUGCAGCCCACCACCACCGCCGCCACCGAACAGGCUACCGCCGCCACCCAUGAUCUGCUGCUGCGGCUGCGUCAGGAUGCCUCCACCCCCGUAGCCGCUACCUGCGCCGCCGCUGCCGCCGCCGAGCCCGCUGCCCAUGCCUACGCCAACUCCGAGGUUAUAGUUGUUCUGCGGCUGUAGCUGCACGGUGUUUGACAUGCCGUACCCACCCGCGCCGCCGGCCGGCUGCACCGGCAGUAGCGGCUGCGGCUGCGCCGGCUGUAGCUGCACCGGCUGCUGCGAGAAAGCGUUUCCGCCGCCGAGGCCGCCACCAUACCCGCCGCCCAGGUUGCUACUGCCAACGGGCCCGAUGGGCUGUAGCUGCUGCUGUUGCUGCUGCUGCGGGAAGCCGCCGGCACCGCCGUUGCCGAACAGUCCUUGUCCCUGUCCCUGCCCAAGGCCUAUGCCUUGCUGCUGCUGUGACAGCAGUUGCUGCUGUUGCUGUUGCUGCUGUUGCUGCCACAUGCCAAGACCGCCGCCUCCGCCACCCAAGCCUUGUUGCAUGCCACCGCCCUGCACGCCGCCCGCACCACCACCGCCGCCGCCACCGAACACGGGCUGCAGCAUCCCGGCCUGGCCAAACCCCGACUGGCCGCCUCCGCCGCCCGCACCAAAGCUCAAGCCCUGAUGCUGCUGCAGCUGCUGCGAUUGCUGCACAUGCUGGUGCUGCUGGUGCUGCUGCUGGUGCUGUUGCUGCAUGCCCAUGCCAAUGCCCAUGCCGCCGCCGCCCACACCCACACCGACCGCGCCGUUGCCGCCUCCCAUGCCGAUUGCGCCGCCGCCGCCGCCGCCUCCCAGCUGCACGCCACGGCCCUGCUGGCCCGCAAACACAUCCACCUGGUUGCUGAGACCCAUGCCGAUGCCGCCGCCACCACCCAUCGCACCACCGCCGCCACCCAGCGCUCCGCCAAAGCCGCCGCCGGAGCCCACGGCGCCCCCGCUCAUCGCCGCGUCCAUGCGCCCCAUGCCGCCACCCAGCACGCCGCCGGCGGCGCUGACCAUCGGCUGCUGCGGCGGCCGCACCGGCAGGCGGCCGGCGGCGCCGGCGGCCGCGCCCUCCCAGCCCGCCUGCGGCUGACCAAAGCCCGCCUGCAGACAGUGAGACAGACACGUGCACAGCCGGGAGGUAUAACAAAUUGGCAGUGAUGCCAAGCGAACCGACAGGUUGGCAGCAUAGGUUGGCAACAAUCGGCGUAAUCAGGAUGCGUUGGCGACGCGACUACUAGCACCUGUGAACUGUCAUACACGAGCGCAACCAGGGCACGUAUGACGACCGUGCCGGCCAUCAAGACCCCCAAACACGAACACAACCAUAGUGGCCGCAGCCGCCCCCACCCCACCAAGCGCACACACACACACAUACACACACACACAUACACACACACACACACAAAACACACACACACACACACACACACACACACACAAACACACACACACACACACAAACACACACACACACACACACACACAAACACACACACACACACACACACACACACCUGCAUGGCGGUGGAGUAGUUGCGCUUCUGCCCAGCCGCCAUGUCGUACCCGGCGCCCGCACCUCCCGCACCGUACCCGCCGUCGCCAAUGGGGCCGCCGCUGUCCCUGCCGUACAGCGUGCCGCCGUACCCGCCGCCGCCACCACCGCCGUGCCCCAUCCCGCUGCCGCCGCCGCCGCCGCCGCCAGCUCCCCGCUGCCCCAGCCCAACUUGCACCAUUGAGCCACCGCCACGGCCGCCGCCUCCUCCUCCUCCUCCUCCUCCUCGGCUCUCCGGCACACCGAACGGCCCGCCGCUGCUGCCGCUGUGCAUGGGCGGCGGAGGGAAGCCGCCGCCACCGCCGCCAUAGCCGCCGCUGUAAGCGCGGCUGGCGCCCACCGGCCCCACGCCCCUGCCGCCCGUGCCUCGGUCCCAGUCCCCUCGAUCCAGCCUGUCGCCCCGGUCUCCCCGAUCCCUGUCGCUGCCGCCGCCGCGGCGGUCCCGGUCCCCGCGGUCUCCCCGGUCUCCCCGGUCGCCGCGGUCGCUGCCCGUGCUCCACCACUCGCCGCCGCCGCCGCCGCCGCCGCCGGGCCGGCCCGCGGGCGGCUUGCUGCGGCUGCGGUCGCCCGGGCCGCCCGUGUAGCCCAACUGCAGGUGUCAGGCGUCAGUUGUAAGGUUGGGAGGGUCAGUACCGUAUCAUAGUAAAAAGCAUAGGGAUAAAGGACGGGCGUCAUGCGGAGAUCGAUUCAGACCCCGGAGCUGCAGGUCAGGCGCCUCUGUGUUGGCGUUGGCGUGUGACGUGCGACGUGUGACGUGGACCAUUGUUUAACUCCUGGCUCGCGUGGAGCCCGCAUGCGCCGCGUUGCAUCCAUCGCGUCCCGCCCUUCUCCACAACCACAACAGCCACGCCCGCAUGCCGCCACGCCACGCGUGGCAGCACCACCGCACCCGUCACCGCCGCUCACCCCCGGCCGCUCGAUCUGCCCCGGCUUGCCGCGCCCCGCCGGCCCGCCCAGCGGCGGCUUGGGCACUGGCAGCAGGUCGCUGGGCCGCAGCCCGCCCGGCCCCAGCAGCUUCUCCAGGGUGGCGGCCGCGGCCACCUGCUUGGCAUCCUUCUUGGUGCGGGCCUGAAAGGGGGGUGGGGUAGAGAGGGGGUUGCAGUUCAUGGAGAACGGAGUGAUUAAACCGGGUGGGCAGAGAGUCCAAAGAAGAAUGGGGCAAAAGGGGGGGAGGGACAUGGUGGGUACGGGUCAUGGGUAGGGGUGCUCCGGGGUGUGGGGCAGGCAGAGCCGUGGACUAGGUAUGCCGUAGCUGGGCAAGGCCAGGGCUGUGCGUGUGGCCGUGUUGUCGCACGGACAUACAACAGCCCCGACGACGGUCCACCCCCGCCGCCGCCGCCGCCGGUGCACUACAGCGCUGCCAUCCAUGCGGCGCAUCCAUCCAGCCGCGCACGUCACCCAGAGGCACACACACAGAAGCACAUCACACGCCGCACGCACCGCACGCACCGCGCACACCGCACGUACGCACCUUGCCGGUGGCCGUGACCACGGUGGUGGGCGAGGAGCCGCCGGACACGAGGCGUGCCUCCACGUUGUAGGGGCCGGCGGGGCCCUCGCUCACCUCGUUGUACGACACCUGCAAAGGCGCAGGCGGGUCGGGGCGGGGCGGGCCGGGUUGGGUCGGGUUCGGGUGCAGCUGGCGAGUGCGUGUGUCGAAGGGAAACGACAAGCGUGCAUGUGUGUGGUGGAUAGCGACCCGUGUCUACAAGUGUGUGUGCGUGUGCGUGUAGCGUUGUGUAUCGGGGCCAAUGGCCCGGCAUCGUGCCUCGUGCCCCCCCUGCUUCCCCCCUGCACCUGGCUACACCUUUACUUCUCAAGUCAUCAUGAGUGUACCCCCCCCUCGCCCACCUCGUACGACAUCUUGGCCGCGUACUCGUGCAGUAUCAUGAGCGGCGUCUUGGAGGCGGCGCGGUUGCCCUCGCUGGAGCUCUUGAGCGACUGCAGCAGCAGGCAGCAGGGGCAGGAGGAUGAGGUCUCAGAAGCAGAUAAUGAGAGGUGGCGGAGGACGGCGGAGGAGGAUGGAGGAGGGAGGAGUAGGGGUUGCAGGCACGUACUGUUUUGCUUGCCCGGUCAACAGCAGCCGCCCUCUCGGUGUCAUGACCAACGCUCGCACAUCCUAUCGACGCGCAUAACGCUCCGCUUAUCACGCAUCGCACCUCGAUCAUUUUUAAGAUCUUGGGGUAGGCGGCCAGCGCCAUCGUGAGAUCCUGCGACAGACCCAGUGCCGACUUGGGCGCCGGCAGCUUCUUGUCACCCGCUGCUGCCCCCGCGCCCGCCUUGUCUCCAGCCGCUCCCGCACCGGCUGCGGCUGCGUCCGCCCCAGUCGCCGCUGGCGCCGCUGCAUCGCCCUUCUCUGCCUCCUUGGCUCCCUUCUUACCGGAGCCGCCCGCAUCCCCAUCCGCUGCCGCCGCCGCUGCCGCCGAUGGCUUGGCACCCGCCUCCGCGCCGCCGCCCGCGCCCGCGGCGGCUGCCGCCGCCGCCGCCGCCCGCCCGGACUCAGUCCCGCCGCCACCCAUGGCGGCGCCCGCGGAGGCACUCGGCGUGGACGGCGCCGCGCGCUUCACCGCACCCGCGUGCCGGCCCGGCUCCGCGCCGCCGGGUGCGCAGGCGCUGGCGGCGCGCUUCGCGCCCCUCUGCAGCACGUGCAGCGCCGCCGCCACCGCCGCCCGCUUGUCGGGGUGCGCCCGCACCGCCGCCAGCAGGGCGUUGAUGGAGGAGCCCGGCGGCGCCGCCAGGUGCAGCGGCAGCGCCGUCGCCGCCGCCUGCGCCGCCGCCAGCACCUGACGGAAGGGCCGCCGCGAGGCGUGCAGUCCCACACGCCGACCGCCCACAAACGCACCGCCGCCGCCGCCGCCGCCGCCACCCACCGCCCCUGAGUCGUCGCCGCUGCCGCCGUGGCCCGACUCCGCCACCGUGCCUGCAUCUGGGUCGGCAUCGGCGUCGGCAUCCCCGUUGGCUGCGCUGGUACCGGACCCCGCGCCCGGCUGCUGCUCGCUGUCAUCCGCGUCACCUGCGGCGCCCGGCUGCGCCCUGCCCCGCUCCGCCUCCUCCGCCUUGCCGGCCUCCUCCGAACCCCGCGCUGUGCCUGCCGCCGCCGCUGCCGCCGCUGCUGCCGCUGCUGCUGCGGUGCGGGUGGCGGGCGGCAUGGGGAUGGCGGCGGCGCGAAUGGCGCGCUGCGCCGCCCGCUCAUCCGCAAAGGUCGAGAAGCCGUAGCCCUUGCAGAUUGAGGUGCCGCGCGUCAACUGCGUGGCGUGGCAACACAGAGCACACAAGGCAAAGAGGGGAGGGUAGGCGUUUCACGUGGAGAACUGAUUGAUUCAAUCAGGAGUGAGGGGGUUUACACUCAUGUUUGGUGAAGGCCAUCCCCCAACCCCCAACCCCGCCGUCCAAUCCCCUUUCUUCCCCGCUCCUCCCCACCGCUCACGCUCACCUGCAGCCGCACCGACACCACCUCUGCAUCGCCGCCCGCCGCCCCCGCCGCCGCCGCCGCCGCCCCCGCCGCGCCGCCGCCGCCGCCGCCCGCCAGCUCCACCAGCAGCGCCCGCACCUCAUCCUCCCGCGCGUCCGGGGCCAGGCCGCCAAUGAACACCUGCGCAUGCGAGGUACACCAUCACAAGCUCAUAUUACAACACUGGCAUCAGCGGCCUUCCCUCUGCAGCCCUCUGCUUUGUCCCUCCCCGCCAAGCAACCGCUUUCGCCGCUGUCCGGCCUCCGCCGCCACUGCCCGUGCUGCCGCCGCUGCUGCCCGUGCUGCCCCUGUGCCCGGCCCUGCUGCCCCACCUCGAAGCCCUGCGGCCGGCCCGGUGCCGCCAGCCGCCUGACGCCGCUGCUGACCACCUCGCCGUCGCCGUCGUCACCGCCCAAGCCCUCCAGCCUGCGGCAGCCGAGAGCAAACAUACAGCGACGUGCAUUGAAGUGGAGCAGACAGGUACAGGGUCGUGAUUUCCGGUGCCAACAGGUUAGGGCCGCGUAUUCGCGCCAUUUUCCCGUACUAGCGUCCAUAGCACCCAGCGCCCGCAACCGGACCCUUCCAUCUCCCCUCUAAACUGCCCCCUGCGAUCGCUGGCUUCCCCUCCUUCCCCUCCUUCCCUCCUCUGCCCCUGUGAGUCUCACGUGCUGCUGCCGGCCGCCACGUCCACGCUAACAAGCACGCCCGGGUCCGACGGCGCCGGCUCCAAAGACGCCUCCCGAUGCAGCGCAGCGGCACCGCCGCCCCCGCCACGGCCUCCGCCGCCCCCUCCAGCCCCGCUGAGCGCCGGCCCCGCGCCCGCACCCGGCCCGGCAGCAGCAACAGCUGUCAGUGCAGGCACCGCCGCCGUUGUGGCAGCAGCCCCCUGGUUCGCAGCAGCUGCGGCUUCGGCUGUCGCGGGCUUGCCCGCGCCGCCGGAAGGGCCGGCCCCCACGCCCUGAUCACCCGCCGUAGCUGCCUCGCCCGCCGCAGCUUUGCCCUUCUUGACAGGCGCUGCGAGCGCUGCCGGGGCCAGUCCUGCCGCUCCCGAUGCCAAGACGCCCUCAGCCGUGUCGGUUUGGCGCGGCGAGGAGGGGUAGUCGCCCGAGCCCAGCUGCAGGGUGCCGAGCUGACGCCGAGCCUCGUCGGCCGGGAGGGCUGCCUGCGGCCCCGCCGCGCCGCUGCCGGAGGGCAGCUGCACAACCGCAUCGUCGAGAGACUCAGGCAGCUGAAACUCCAGCUCCAGCCUGGACUUCUUCGCCGGCCCCGGCCCGGUAGACGAUGGGGUCACCUUGCCAACCCGAUCGGGCCCGGCUUCCGCCUCCCCGUUAGAGGACAUCGCCCUUAUUGCGUGUAGGCAGCUGGACUCCCACGCAAACCCACAGUCUCGCCUAAAAGCCAAUCCCCGCGCACGAGCAACGAAAUCGCUGCCUAGUUCUGGCCCGGCUUUGUCUCGACCUGCACACUAUGUAAUAGUAAACGUAAUUAGUAUACCGACGACAUUAUUGAACGCGAUCAGAACACCCUGCGCACGCGCUCAGCUUACAAAAAAUUGUGAGCCUUCACAUGCGAUGGUGCCCCUAGUGAGCACGAAAUGGAUUGCUACGCUCAAGAACGACUACGCAUAUGUAUACCGUGAUCAAUGAUGUUCUGUGGAUCCGCGACUGGGCAUGGGCAUUGGAGUCUUCCAUGCUGCAGACAGACUUACUUCCAAGUCAGGAAAAAGACGCUUCGGAGUGGAUGAUGCGGGGCUGGUCGUGAGGCGUAUGGAUUAGGAACUGCGAGGUGCCUGCUUCCUCUCGCGGGAACCGCGCCCUGCGUGUCCCGCCGCUGCGUGUGUGUAUUUUUGCCGUUUGGCAGGUUCGCUCGCCCUGGAUACACAGGCAGCUACCCUCUUUUGCUGUCGCUAUCGUUGCGAUGAUUUGGCACCCCGUCCCCGGGCUCCUUCCCCAAAAGCAUCUCACUUUCAACUUCCCCCCAUACCCAAGGUGGCACCAUUCUCCCCUUUUUGCCGUUCUAACACGUAGGUGAAGAUAUAUGAAGCCCACUGGUUCAAGUAGCACCUGAAAUAGUGGCUUCUGCAGGAUUACAAGGACCGGCGGGCGUAGACUUCAAUUCUCGCCAUUAAGCCUCCUUUCCCAAAGUAACUUCGCUGAAGUGCUAACAAUCACCUACUCAAUCCAUACUUGCCGAGACUUGCCAGAUAUCAACACCAACACGAGAGAGUCCAGUAACGUUGCCGAGCGCUGAGCACCCACAAGCGGCAGGAUGCCUUCGGCAGAUCUAUAUGAUUCAACUAUUGGGGAUAUGGUGCAUAAAGGCCCGAACCAGGCAAGUGGGGCGUCCAUGACAAUGCCCAAACUCUUGCGCCGUGUUCAUGGCGCGACUGCCUUUGAUGUGUAAUCGCGAUAGCGUUUGGAAGGGGAACGUCCUGGCAGCCAGUUUGAAGUUCCUUUCUGUAUUUGCCGAUGGGACUCCGAGCACUUCAGCUUUAUGCAUCCCCUGGCGGCAGCUGUUUAAUCAACUCGUACUUGCGUGUUCAGCCAGACAUCAAAACACCAGGGCGCGGACCCAACUUGGGCUGGACCGGAGUGUCCCGUUGUUCCCCCCGAGCUCAGCGCUGGUCCUUACCUCAUGGCCCUCCUUCGGUCCUUCCCCUCUCCGCAGGCGGGCAACAAGGGUCUACUAACCUACAACAACGCGGUGGGAAUUCCAGGCUACACCGGCUUCAUGCCCAGCACGAAUGCGCUGGCGCUGCCGGUGAAGGGCUUUGAGCACACGGGGCGGCCAGCGGCCAGCGCCGAGGUGGAGAAGCUGACAGUCAAGAGCGUGGACCCCCGCAAGACCUCACAGUGAGUCCGGCUCACCCCAUCAAUUCUAGCUGUGUCAUCGACCCACUCAUGCUGGCACUGGUAGCUAUUAUAAUGCUCUCAACGCCUUCUGUCGCCAUGUAAGCCCCUCACCUCCCUGCUACCACAACCCGCUCCCCCUCAGAUACGCGGACGACUACCACAAAAAGCCGGCGGACACAAAGGCCUUCUCCAAAACCGGCGGUGGCUACUGGAUUUCGCAGCGCGUGCUGCCGCCGCAUACGGCCUUCACGGCCACCACAACCUACCGCGCGGAGACGCUCAACGCGGAGCCCAACACCGCUGCCAUCCUGGACCGCAGCCAGGGCCUGGCCUCGACGCUGGUGGGUUAUGAGGCCGCGCGGCAGGCGGGCGAGGUGCGGCGCAGCAUCAGCGCCGAUCCCCGCGCGCGCGCCGAGGACACGGCGCGCGGCAUCGGCACGCAGACGGUGCUGGGCCGGCCGGGCAGCGGCGGCAACACCAGCAUACUCGCCACCGUCGCCGCGGCGGCGCCCUCCUCGCCCCAGGCCGGAUCCAGCGUCAUGGUGUCCUCAGCCCGCCGGCCAGCCACCGUGCCCACCAAGUACGGCGAGCUGCCCGGGUACCAGACCACGUACGGCGCCGCCACGGACAAGAUGGCGCGCAUGCAGGCGGACAACGAGCUGAACGGCACCGGCUCAUUCGCACCCUCCAACAUGGGCGACCCACGGUUCAAGACGCUUCCGCGCGUGAUGAACCCGGGCAUGGGCCGCAACUACAGCAGCUACGUGGCGGAGUACGGCGGCGACGGGCACGACCCCAUGGCCCGGCAGGCGGCCAACAAGGACACCAUGACGCGCAUCAGCGUCACACGGGAUCUGGCGGGCGGCACCACCCGCAACGUCAGCCACAUCCCCCGCUACACCGGCCACAUCCCCGCCUCCGAAUACGCCACGCCCGAGGCGCGCGCGCAGGGCGAGGCGGCGGAGCCGCGCCCCGACCAUAAAUCGCAGGCGCUCACCUACACGCUCGACCAGUACCCCCGUGGCCGGCUGCCUGGGUACACGGGCUUCAAGGCGCAGGCGCCCGCCAACAUCGACGCGGGCCUGAAGCACUCGAUGAAGCUGCCGUGCCACAGCACCACCUCGGGAGACGCGACGCUGCGCGGCACGCAGUUUGGUGUGCCGCAUCAGGACCACACCCAUUACAUCAACAGCCGUGCGGGGCUCAAUUCCUUCUUCUCCAACUCGGUCGUGGGCACGGAGUUCGUGUCUGACAACGGGCUGUUCAACGCCCAGGUGUACUACAAGGAGGCCAAGAGCCAGGGGGCGCUGGGCAUCAAGACGGCGCAGCCCAGCAAGCUGACGCACUAUGGAGCGCCCUUCCGGGCGGCGGCGUCCAUGGUGUAAGGGGCUGGCCGGCUGAGGCAGCGCAAAGCAGGGUGGGGUGACUUAUGACUGUCAGGGUGUGGCGUUUAUGUGACCAUCUUCGGGGGUGAUAAUUUGAAUGCAUGUGUGACGAAGCCGCAUGCCGUUUCCAAAGGCAUGCGGCGUGAAGGCUGUGAUGUGCAAGGCAGAGAUGGACGGGAAUGCAGGUGGUUUCGUGCCUGCCCAGUAGUUGGCAGUAUGCAGGUUUGCAAUUGUGUAGGUUGGGAAUGAGCAAGUACACCGGGGGCCAGAGGGGGCCAGCAUACGGUAUGUGCCAGGACGAGUAUGAUAUGUUUCCAAGUUUGAACCCGGCUUCGGCUUCCAGAGCUUCCAGACAUUCGGGCAAGAGCUACCAGGACAAACCUGAAACCCGCUGCAGAACUAUAAACACGGACCGUGAGGAUUGCACCAAUGCAAGGCGGCCUCGCGAUGGUUGUAAAGUACGUCAUGACCCGCAGCCCACGCCUGCAGCCCACUUGUAUUUCCUCAGACCUACUUGCCGCUGACAAACAAGCUGUCACCGCGUACCUACUUGUUCUCACGCCUGAACUUGCCCUACCUGCCAUCUGUUUAUACAUGCCAGCUGACUAACGUACAAAACCUUCGCACAAUGAUGUGCCAGAUGGCAUGCACGGGUGCACCCCAUGCAAAGUCGCGCCCGUCAAAAGCUGUCGAUCGUGUCUUUGUGUUCGUGGCUAGCAAGUCGAAUGUCGUGACUCGUUGCCGCCAUAAUGAAACAACGCAAUAAGCAGUUACAGUCAAGUAAUACAAACUUGGGGCGCUGCACGGCUCUUCAACUUCUGGCCCAUGCACAGCGGACAACACAGCGCAUCCAAUCAGGACACUGCGCACCACGCCCACAUCUCCCCAGCCGAGCAGCGGUGCAUGAGUGGAGCACCUUACUCAGUCUCCACGCCUCCGGCUGCCGCCGACGCCACGGUCUCAGCGCUGACACGCACCGCCGCCAGGCCCGCGGCGGGUGCCUCGGCGAUGUCCGCCACGCGGUCGUUGUCCUCUUCGGGCAGGAAGUAGUCAUCCGGGUCCUCGUCCUGAGAGCAAGCAGCAGAAGAAAGCAGGAGGAACUUGUUGGUGCACUCCCCUCAGGCUCACUGCUCACGCAGUCCAUAACUACCGUACCCGUCCUACUUGGCAGCCACGUGUCGAGGAGGCCUACCAACCAGGGCACGAGGCAGCACACCCGCAGCCUCAAAGGACAAGAAUACGCACAAACACGCCUUCUCACCAGCCCUGCGCCCCAACCGGCUCGGCUGCCCUCACCUCGUAGUGGUAGGACAGCGGGUCGCGCAGCUCCUCGUCCGACAACAUGUCCGCAAAGCCGAUGGUCAUGGUCACCCGCUCGCCGUUGGGCUUGAGCGCCGACACCUGCACACGACGCAAACAAAGACGCACAGACGCACAUAGGUUGUGGCGAAUUGCAUGCUUGCUUGGACGGGAAAAGGAUUUCAUGGCCGGUACCUCUGGUACUAGCUCUCCAUUACGUAGGGCUGAUGGUGUAGGCUCAGGCGACGGCUCACCUGCACCUCCAGCUGCUGCAGGUCGUUGUCAAUGGCGCCCGCCCCGGUGGUCUCCAUGUACUCCGCCAGCGCCACCAGCGUCUGCUCCUUCAUGCCCAGCAGCUGCUCCGGAGACACACCGCACCUGCAUACACAAACGCGUGUGUUUGCAAAGCAAACACGACGUGAGCGUCCUGGGACCACAACAAGCCGACGUACAGACACACAUUACUCGAGACCAGAACCCAUGCCGCUUGCAGCCUCACUCACCGGUCCGCAAUGAGCACCAUCUGCAGCCGGCUCAUCACCACCUGCGCGAGUUAGCACGCAGCCCAUGCGGCGUCAUAAGUGGCACGACUGCAAACAAUGCUCUGGCACCCAGUCUUGACACCGCAUCAGUGUGGAUCUUUGCAGCACCCGGCUGCCAGUGUUGUGGCCCCGCCCGGCCCUCACCUCCUUGUAGGAGCGGCCGCGCACAAGCUUGGUGUUGUCGGCGGGCACACUGCCCUUCAGCAGCAUGCCCAUCUUGUUGGCCCACGCCCCGAUGCCGCGCGGCCGCGGCUUGAGCCCCGGUGUGGGUGGGAAGAACACACCCCAGGCCAUGCGGCACUUCUGGACGAAGCCCUGCCAGAAGGCCUGGUCCGGUCCGCCGGCCUUGAAGCGGUGCAACAGCUUAAUCUGUUUUGACAAGGAGCCGCGCAGUUCUGGCAUGUCGACUUCAUGGCAGGGCACACGGUUCUUACCAGGUGCGGUCCUACGGAAGGCUAACGGCCUGCAGUUAUGCAUCCCGUCCCUCCACAAGUUGUAGUGCGCACGCGCAGCCCAGUGCUGGAUUGCUGGUGUCUUACCUCGGGCUUAGGGUCCGCCACCAUGAAUCGCAGGCUGCGGGGCGUCACAACCCCUGCGACCAAUCGCAGACACAGGUUGAGUGCUCAACGAAGCCACGAAACGUGUACCGCUGGCGCUUCGCUUCAUCAUGGCUGCUAUUGCGGGAUGCAGACACAGGAGGCAGGUCCACUCAUGCUCCAGUGCGCUCACCUCCGCCGGCCAGCGCCAUUGCUCCUGACUGGCCGUCCUCGCCGUCAACGCCCUCUGGCCGUGGCCCCGCCUCCUCCUCACUUCCCCGCUGGUCGCCGGCCUCCCCGCGCUCACGCAGAAACUCCCGGUCGGCUUCAUCUGAGCGGUUGCGGAGCUCUUGUAGCCGGUUGCUGACUACGUCCUUGCUGCUGCCACCUGACCCAAAGCCAACCCGGAUGAAGGGGUUUUGUUGCGUAAGGAACGCGUUGACCUGCAGACUGCGGCGGGCACUCCGGGAGCGCGCGGGCACCGGCGACGUCCGCGCGGCGCAGCACGGUGAUAGGCGGGCCGAAGCUGAUGGCGCCUUUCCAGGAGAAGAGGAAACCUACAAUGCAGCAGCAUGUUCGAGGGCAUUUGGUGCUCUCGACCGAAGGUCAGCGUCUCGCUGGCGACAUGGCAACCCACCCCCCGACAGUCAAAGCUGCAUGUGAGCACCUUCGCGCAACUGUGCAUAGACCAUAUUUGUGCGGAAAUGCUACCUUGCCGGCGCUCGGCUGCAUUUGGCGUAGCGGCGUGCUCAUGCUGCUAAGUCGCUGACUCGCGUCGCUGCUUUGCUUCCAAAGUCCCUCCAGCAAAUAUUCAAGAGAUAGCUCAGCUGCCACGCAACAGAGUGGACCACAGCCAGUUCAGGGGAGAACGCGAGCAGCCAAGCCGCAGAGCCGAAGAAACGACAGCCCAAAACAGUUCUCCCCUUGUGACGGUCUAUUCACACGGGUCACAAUUCAGCUGAAAGAAACUGGUACAUCCUUCUACCUUAGCAUGGGUCUGGAGGUAAUUGAGUGGCAGAAUCAGCGACAAGUUCCGAAAAUGCAAAUCGCGCGGGAGCCGGGAAAGUCCCUUGUAGUUUGCAUGUUCAUGUAUUGUGCAUACAGUGUGUGCAUCUGAUUUUUUAAUAGCAUUGAACACAGCAUCCAGCAGCUGCAAGCGGAGCAAUAACCUGUCUUGGACCUUCGCAGCAGUGUAAACUAGCCGUGCAGGCGCUAAUUCUAGAGACGUACCUAUAAGCAAAACAGCAGGAAGACAGACGACAUCGGUAGGCUUGAAAACCCAGGUACCACCGCAGGGGAAUGCCUCCCCGCAAUGCUGCGCAAGCCGCGGCGCCUGCCGCUGCUAUGGCUAUGGAACGGCCACGUCGCGGGAAAGCCAACUACGCCGCGCCCACCAAAUUAAAGGAGGCGUCCAGCAGCAGCAGCGAUAGCGACAGCGACAGCGAGGUCGAGGUAAUAGAGGACAAGCAGGCCAGGUGCGCUCGGCCACCUGCAGCGGGAAAGGCCGCGGCCGCCCCGGCGACGCGGGGGCGUGGCCGUGGAGCUGCAGCAGCGAGCACACGUGGGCGAGGGGCUGCGGCUGGUGGGCGCGGCAGAGGCCAGCAAGUUGCGCCACAGGAGGCUGAGGACGUGGAAGCGUCGGAGUGCGAGGAGGAUAACGAGGGCGAGGACGAGAGCAACGAGCAGGAGGAGGAGGAGGAGGGUGAGGAGGAGGAGGAGGAGGCGGAGGAGGAGGAGGAGGAGCCCAAGGACAAGGCGGUUGCUGCGCAGCGCGAACGGAGAGCCGCGGCGGCGACGGCCGCCAUGGCCGCACGCGGCCGCGGCAGUGGCCGAGGCGCCGCGGCUGCCGCGUCGCGGCCCACUCGCGGGCGCAGGGGCGCGGCAGCCGCGGCUAACAACAGCUCUGAUGACAGCUCUGACGAUGAGGAUGGCGGUGAGGACUCGGAAGAGGAGGAGGAGGGCUCUAGCUCGGGAGAGGAAGAGGAACAGGAGCAGGCAGCUGCGCCGGCCGCCGCACGGCGGGGCCGUGGCCGCGGCGCCGCAGGCGCCGCUGCCGCUGCCGGCGCCGCCGCAGGCGGCGGUGGCCGGAAAAGGGCUGCGCCUCUUGUAGCGCCGACGGCGGCGGAGAGUCGUAAGCGGCUGUUUGACCUGUUGGAGAGGCGCAUUGGCGGCGCCACGGCGGGCGGCGGGCACGGCGCGGGUUGCGGCGAGGGCGGCUCGGGCGGCGGCGCGGCGCGGCUGCAGUAUGUGGACGUGCCUGCCAAGAACCCCGCCAAGAAGGCCAAGCUCUUGGAGGACCUCAAGUGGGUGGAGGGGCGGGGUUGCGGGGCGGGGCCGGGCGUGUGAACUUUGGGGAGCGCUACUGGGGAAUGCAUCUGGAGUGUUACCCUGGGGUUUGGUGGUGGCUUGCUGGACCUGGAUGUGGUAGGGAGUGAGCAUCGGAGAGCGUGUUGCCCGCGGCGUGGUGGUGUGGACUGCAGCUAUAAGUUUGCAAUGUGAGUGAAGCUACCUGCUUGCUUCCUUGUUUCUCUCCUCACGCGUGUCGCUAUCCAUGCCCCGCCCCUGUGCCCCUCUCCACACUCCCACAGGAAGCAGUUCGAUGAGUGGCACAGCCGCAUGCGGUGAGGCGACUUGGAGGAGGAGGGUGGUUGUUACUCUGUCACCGUGUACACACACGGCACUGCGGGGUUGUUUAGUGGCGCGGGGCCGUCUUUUGCCCUUCCAGUCAGCCUGCUUGCCCACUGCAAAUUUACAUAGCCUCCCGCAUCCCACGCUGGUCGCCCCAUGCCUCACUUCCCCAUCCUUCUCAGCCUGCCCUUCUCUCUCGCGCGCUUACACACCCACCCACCCACCCGCACCCACAGUCUUUGCGCUUCUUUCCUUGUGCUCUGCAACCCCCCCCCCCCCCCACACACACACACGCACACAGCUCCAACUUCUCGGUGCUGCUGUACGGCUUCGGCUCAAAGCGCGCACUGCUGGACGACUUCGCAAGGCGGCUAGCGGGGCCGCUCAACAGGUGGAGGGCUUAGAGAGUUGGUGUGGGAGUGGGGAAGUGGCGGCCGGGCGCCCGGACCUGUCUGUGGGUGUGGCUUUGAGUCGUAAUUUCUCUCCAAGGUGCCGUCCAUUGAGGGCUUCGAACGGCCUUUCGCAUCCCCCACAUGCGGAAUCCAGCCGCAAUACUGUGAUGCUCCGCUGAUACCCUAGUCCGUUUAACCGCGCUCGUUGAUGUCCGCUAAUAACCUUCUCCAACACAUACCGUGCCCCACAGGGGUGACGCGGCAGUGCUGGUCUACUACGGCUACAACCCCCGCUGCACCGCUAAGGACGUCGUCACCGGCGUCGCCUCGGCCCUGCUGCAACGCAGCUUCCGACACCUCACCUCAGGGGCCGGCGCAGCCGCCGCCGCCGCCGCCGCCUCAAGCGCCGCCGCAGGCGCGGCGGGCGCCGCCGCGCCUGCGCCCGCGGGGGGUGGCGGCGGUGUACUGGGUGCGCUGCGUGGUCUGGUGGAGGAGGUCCGGCGGGAGGCGGCGGACCGACACGUGUUCGUGGUGAUCCACAACCUGGACGGCCCCGGUGAGGGAAGGGGAGGGGGUCGCAUCCACCAUGCCUAUGAAAGCUAAACGGAGUGCAGGGGGGAGGUGCCAGUAAAUCGUGGCCGGGCGGGGCAGGGCGGCGCGGGGUGGGGCGGGGCGGGGUGGGCCGCGCCUGACUGCUGCUCUGACCGCACGACACCCACGGCACACACGCUCACAGGCCUUCGCGGGGACGUGUCGCUGCUGAGCGCGCUGGCGUCGUGCCCGCAGGUGCGGACGGGGCUGCUAGCUAGCUAGCUGGCUAGCGUGUGCGCGGUUGUAUGCGUGCGUCUGCUGCCGGGUCCUCCGCCCAGUGCAUCCUGGUCCCUCGUCCAUCGGCGGUCUGGAUAGACUCAACACACCCAUCCAGCCACAACCACCGCCCAUCGCUACUACCCCUUCACCCUCCUUUGCAUCCGCCUCCUCCUGUCCCCCCCCCCCUCCAAUAACCUUCUCUUCUGUUGUCACGCCUCCUCCCCCCAGCGAGCUUCGCUUGGUUUGGCUCCGUUUAGUCUGUUACCCCCACCCCACCCCUCCCCCCCUUCUGCAGGUGCACCUGGUGGCCAGUGUGGACCACGCCAUGUCGCCGCUGUUGUGGGACUCGGCGGACGCGGCGCGCUUCAGGUGGGGGGGCGG
rnacentral:lncRNA from 1 species